UAAACGCCAACGGAUAAGGCCGACAUUGAAAACAAGAUCCAACGCAAUAGGCCCUCCUCCAAUAAAGUUCCCCUAGCUGGGCCGAUAUUAGAUCUGGCGCAGUAAUUUUUAUUUUGUGUUUAUAUACUAAACAACAAGGGCAGUUUAGGAAAACUGAAAAGUAUGGCUGAUUUUACAGUUAACAAAAUCCAAAACCGUAAACUACCAAAUCCCAUCUUCCCCUCUCCUCUCAAUGGACGGUUCUGGAGGCCAAAUACUUCCGAACGAAACAAUACACACACUGUGAAGUACCGUAGUAAUCAAAGCACCGAACUCUGCACUCUCCACCGACCUGACCAACAGAUGCUCUAUAUCACGGCGGGACCACCCGACAAGCCCAUGACCCGAACUUCGAACUCCGAGCCUGCAUACCCGCCGCGCAAUCCUGCCGGAGCAACUGGCAUGUGGCUUAUGGUGCCCCUGCAGGCCAUUAUCCAAAGCAGAGGAGGCAUAAUUAUAGCUUCGUUGAUUCCUUGCGCUCUUUUCUACCUUUUCCAGCUGUAUCUGAAACUGCACCGUUCUUCGGACCCGCCGACAUCUUCGAAUACUCCGUCGCUAUCAACGUCGUCACCGAACCCGGUGGAUUUUCCUCGAAGUUCUUCGCGCUUAAAAUUUCCCACCCGUGGCUCCAUCGUGCGGGUCCACGUUUCGAACCGUGCUAGCUCUAUUGCGAAACCGAACGAUUUGCGGUGUUCUAUUGGGUUGGAUAAAGUUGCUAAGGACCCAUAUGAUAGAAUGGAUAAGCCAGAUGGGAUUAUCCAGCUUGGUUUGCCCGAGAACAGACUAAGUUUUUGAAAUUUAUAUCUGUUUUAGUUUUCAAACUAUUGUGGUUUUGCUUUUCUGAUUGGUGCAAAUUGGUCUAUUGUGAUGUAGUUAUGCUUGGAUUUGAUUGAGAUGUGGUUUUCUGAGAACUCCAUGUCUUCGAUAAUAGGAAGCGGAGAUGAUGAUUUGAGCAUUAGUGGGAUUGCAACAUGCCAACCAUUUGAUGGAUUGAUGGAGUUGAAAGUGCUCAUGUCAGUGUGACCAGCCUUAUCAAGGAAACCAGAAGCUGGUGGAUGCAGUGGAAAGAGGUAUUCCAAGAAGGAAGCUCCCACAAGACUUGAAAACCCAGUUGCAUAGCUGCUGGUUGUACUUUCAGUUUCAG